CCUACGGGGUGCAGCAGUGGGGAAUAUUGGACAAUGGGCGAAAGCCUGAUCCAGCCAUGCCGCGUGUGUGAAGAAGGCCUUCGGGUUGUAAAGCACUUUCAGUGGGGAAGAAAGCCUUGGGGCUAAUACCCUCGAGGAAGGACAUCACCCACAGAAGAAGCACCGGCUAACUCCGUGCCAGCAGCCGCGGUAAUACGGAGGGUGCGAGCGUUAAUCGGAAUUACUGGGCGUAAAGCGCGCGUAGGCGGUCUGAUAAGCCGGUUGUGAAAGCCCCGGGCUCAACCUGGGAACGGCAUCCGGAACUGUCAGGCUAGAGUGCAGGAGAGGAAGGUAGAAUUCCCGGUGUAGUGGUGAAAUGCGUAGAGAUCGGGAGGAAUACCAGUGGCGAAGGCGGCCUUCUGGACUGACACUGACGCUGAGGUGCGAAAGCGUGGGUAGCAAACAGGAUUAGAUACCCGGGUAGUC
rnacentral:rRNA from 1 species